rnacentral:lncRNA from 1 species
GCCCAUCACAGCGUGGUGUCCCAUCACAGUGCAGUGCCCACCACGUCACAGACAGGGUUAAGGCGAGCGGCUGCAGGCUGAGCCCCGCCAGGGGGAUUAGCCACGUUUGCACAGUCCCUCCGGUGCAGGCAAUUCCCUGCCUUGUCCAUCGAUCCCUGUAAGGUGUUAAGAGAGGCUGCAGCAUCGAUCGGUGCAAAGCCCUGGGUGGCAGCGAGCCCAAAGCAGCGAGGCCGAAGGUUUCCCUGGGCACGGAUGUUGCCCUGCACUACCCAGGGAUGAGAAAUGCUCCAGGCUUGGCUCUGCGCCGGGUUAGCCACGCUCGAGGGGAAAAACAUAAUGAGCACGUCCUCAUGGGGAGAAAGGAAACGGAGAGCAGUGAGGAUCCUCCAUGGAACAGGUGAGUGUGGCACAGCUCAGCAGCGGGGGGGCCAGGGGAGAUGCCCACCUCCUUCACAGCAUGAGCACGGAGCCUCCCCGGCAUCCUUUCAUCGCCGGAGGAGAGGAGGAG